CCAAUUUGAUGUGUAGCCUAUGCUACACAUCUUCUCGCUUAGGGCUUGCAACAGCAAAAAGCCCACUUCUAUUUUUUCUUUGCUCGCGCCCUCUCAAACUUUUUCUUUGACAUUGCUACCACCGGCUUUGCUCGUUGGUAACCAAAGUUACCUUUGGUUACUGCAACCAUAGGUUCUCUUUGGAAACGUUAGCAAAGAAAGCUUAAACAGGAUCGGGGCUUGGCUUGCAUUAGUUGUAGCCUACCUAACCUAUAAUUCUAAUAGAAUAUAAAUAUAAUGUAAUAUAAUAUAAGUAGGCUUUCAUUCUAGAAGCGGUAGCUUCCAUGCCAGAAAAAAGGCCUCCUUCCUUUCGUAGCCAGGCCGGCCGCAGAAGCGAGAAGGAUGAGCUUC
rnacentral:lncRNA from 1 species